rnacentral:sRNA from 1 species
ACUGGGAAAGGGGAUAACAUUUGAAAUGUAAAUAAAAAUAUCCAAUUAAAAAUAAAAACACCAGUGCAAAGCAUUGGUUACCUAUAUGUUAACUGUUAAAAAAGAAAGAAAGGGGUCUUCAUUCAUGAAAAUGCUAAUGUCACAGAUACUUCUUUUUCUUGAAGCAUGAUGCAAUUUUGUUAUCAUUGAUGUUCUACUUAAGCAGCAUUCAUCCCGUGCUAGCCCAAGUUAUCACACACUGUCUUCUUGUAACCAGGAUACAAACACUUAUGCUGUGGCCACAAUUGAGAAUUGUGAAGAAUUGAGACUUUAAGGUGGUCUUUAUUCAGAGAACUUUGAUCUGAGACGUCGGUGGAUUAACACCCCAUGCGAAGUCUAUCACAACCUCAUCUCCAACUCUCCAGGCAGCUGAUUAUUCAGGGAAGGGUAAAUGACAGUCAUUCUGGAGUUUGGUCUUGCCCCUCUGGCUAGGUGGCCAAGCAUUCCUAAGGUGGGUGUUAUCUGUUGCUCUCAUCCUCCUCCUUUAACCUGGGUGUCUUGGCUUGGACACUUCUAGGAAGUACGAUCUGUCCUGUGGCUGGAGAGUAACUCAGAACGACUAAACUGUUAACUGUGAUGUGCUGAGGUUUUGGUAACAUGUGCAUGCACGUUCCUCUUGCAACAUGGAAAAUAAAUGGUCCUUAUCAUAUGCGAUAUAAAAGCUCCCCCCCCGCCCCCAUCAACCUUUCCUAAUUUAAAACAAGUCUUUGAGAACAAGGAUCGAUUGAAUGCUUAGGUUACAGGGUCUGAUUGGCUAACUUGUUAAAAUCUUGCCAAAUGCCAGCUUGCCAGGCCUCAUUGAACGUGAAGAUCUUGCCUUGUCUAGAGGUCUCUCAUGCUGCACAGACACUAAGUACAUGGUACUGGGAGGCGCCAAGAGUGGGCUCCUAUUUUUUCCCUUGGGAAAACAAAGUCAUAACCAUCACUAGACAUGCAAGGGGAACCGGUCAGGGUAACGGCCCUUGGCAGAGCACAAUGAGUGUGUACCGGAAGGAGGGGCUGAAGGGCUUAGAGAGAAGCUCAAUAAAGUGCAAAGAUGAAUAGUUCAAAGUCUGAAUAUGUGGCUGUAGGAUCUGGGAAACCCUUAAUGUCAGGACGGAAGAUAGACUCAUUGCAGAGGCUCUGACUUAAACAAGCGCACGCAUCACCACAGAACAAGGAAGUUCUGAGACUCUGGCAGGAACCUAAAUGUGGAUCAUUUGGGUCUGCAGACUAGAGCAGUGGCAAGGCCCAGAGGGAGCUAGUGGAGGGCAAGGAUACUUCCUGUCAUCUCUGGCCCUGACACCUACAACGGAAGCUGCCAGAAGAGCCUGUGCCUCUGCUGACACCACUCAGACCUUGGCAGUGACUGAAACACCUCAGAAGGUUUUGUGGAACCAAUGUGAGCUGAGCUAAGAAUGGCUACUUGUGUAGAGAAUGAGAGGGUGGAGACUAGAGUCUCCAUUGUACUAAAGGUCAACAUUCAUGAGUGAGAGGAAAAAAAAAAAAAGAGGAGGCAUUUGGGGACAGGGAAGUGGUAAGGGAAGACAUUACCGGGGAUGCUGCCAGCUAGGCUGCAGAAAGCAGGAUUCCUGAGGCGACAGAUGGGAGCUUCUCAGGUCAUGACAGUGGGAGAGGAUGAGCCAGUGGCUUGUCGUCUUGGGAGAGCUCCCCAGCACCGUUAAGGAAGGCGUCGCGGAUGUGAGUAUGGGCCGUGAACUCCCUGUUGUUAUUGUUGGGUUUUCCUUUUGGCCUGGGAUGGACUGCUCCAGACAGCAGACCAAACAACUUUUCUUUCCCUCUUGUGUUUCUCUAGCUCAGUCUUCUUGUUUAUAUGCUUGCUAAGCAAGCUGAUGGUGUGAGGUGAAAAUGGCUGACAGACCGCCAUGGAGGGCUGCUCACCACUCCAUCUACUAUGAGCUCAGAACAAAGGGCAUCACACAACGGGAAAUUGAACAGUCAUGUCUGAUACCAAUAAAGAUACUGCUUUAUCCUCGUCCCCAAGAACUUCUACUCCUGCAAAUGCCUUUUCUCCUGUACUCCUGCGGACUCCUUACCUUUGAGAACAAAGACAUUGGCUGGGUCUACAAUGGGGUCAGGGGUGGGCAUUGAGGAGGAAUCGGGAGUCUGUGCUUUGUGGAAGGCUUCAGUAAGUUCUGAGUGACAGACCAGCUGAGCCUGGUUUCGAACCUUGUUUUUUUGUGAGUAUCUGGGACCAGAUCAUACAAGAAAAGUUCUCAGACACCAGAGGUAGCCAGUCUUGGAGUCCUCUGACUCCUCCUGCUUGAUGUAGUAGUGAGGCCUCUGGAAACAGUCUUUAGGGUCAAGUCAUCAUCUAAGAGAAUCAGGCUUUUUGAUUUCAGGAGUAGUAAGUGGGAAAUAAUUAAAGCAGCCUUCUUUCAGCCUUCUUCAGACCCCCAGACCUCACGAUGCAGCGAGUAAAUAAAGGAACCAGUUGUAAAGCUGAACACCUUGAUUUGUCCUUCAUGAUGGAAUCCCUCAGUGGCUACCCCUCAGAAUCCAAAGAAUAGCAUUUCCUUCUGGAAAAUAAUGGCCAAGGGAUGAGAGACAUACCUGAAGCUUUUACCUGAGUGGCCCAGUCUGCUUAGUUAGCCAAAAUAUGUCUACUUUCUUGCCUAAGGUGCUAUUGAUAAAAAAUCAGCUGCUCUUGCUAAUAUUUAUUAGUUGCUAUUACAUACGUAACUGGAAUUGUUCUGAGUGCCUCUUGAGUUUAUCUUUACAGAGGCCUUUCAGGGGCUGCCAGGAUGCUCUGCUGACCAGAAAACUUGAAUUUUAGAGAGACUGCAUCUUCUAAGUAUGAGAUGCAUCAGCGUUGGGAUUGGACCAAGGUGCCUGAGCUCAUGACCUCGAUCUUUCUUUUUGCUAUCAGAACUUUGGGGAAACAGGCACACUGUCCCCUCCUUCCUGUCUUCAUAGUGCACGGCUGAAGGAAGACCAAGGGUCUGGGCCUUCAGUUCCUUUAGAGGAGGAUUCUCCCCACCCUCUCUUCCCAUGCUCAAGUCUCUUAAGAUUUCUCUGGGAGAUCCACCAACCUCUGCCUCCCAAGUGCCAAGAUUAAAGGCCUGUACCACCACUGUUCCUCAAGAGUUCUCUAUUCAUGGAAAACCAUACAAUGUUAGAGACCAAAAACAAAAAAAGGGGGGGGGGAGGAAAUGGUGACACACAAUGCAUUCAAGAACCAGAAGACUCAAUACUGGUAAAGUCCACAACAUUUCUCCCAAGCAAGAUCCUAAUGCAAUCUUUUGGUAGAAAUUGAAAGACGUUUUUAUUUCACAUGCAAAUAUAAACAAACCCAGACUAACAAAACCAAAACGCAACAAGCUAAAAGCAAGACACUUUACAGAAAAGCUCAGAGGAAUGCUAUGACUUAGUGUCAGGACUCACAAAGUCAUACUCUUCACAAGUGUAGACCCUUAUAGACAAGGGGGUCAAUACAACAGGGUUGUCACCCACAUAUACAUGAAUAACUGACUUGACAAAGAAGCAAAGAAAACCAAGUGGAGGGACAGUCCUUUCAACCAAUGCUGUCAGAACAAUAGACUACCCACAUAGGAAGAGAUGGACCUUAGUCCAUGUCUUCCAUCAAAUAAAUAGCAAGCUAUAAGUGUAAAGUUUAAACUAUAAUCUAUGGGAGAAAACGUCUGUGACUUUAUAUUAGACAAAGGGUAUUUGCAUCAAAUACACAACCCAUAAAAUAAUGAAUAGAUUUUCAUCCACAAUAAAACACUGGUUACUCUGAACACAUUGUUAACAAAAUUAUAAAGCAAGGUAGGUUUUGGAAGAAACAGACCAUAGCACAUCAGUUUGACCAAGUGAGGAUGGAUAAGAAACUCAAUCUUAGAAAUAAGAAAGCAGGGGGUUGGGGAUUUAGCUCAGUGGUAGAGCGCUUGCCUAGGAAGCGCAAGGCCCUGGGUUCGGUCCCCAGCUCCGAAAAAAAGAACCAAAGAAAUAAGAAAGCAAUCCUGUUCAAAUGGGAAAAUACUUGAACAGAUACUUUAUGAGAGAACACAAGGCGUGGGUGUCUAGGGAGAUGGCUCAGUUGGGAAAGUGUUUGCUGUACAAGCGUAAGGACCUGAGUUUGAAUCCCUUAGUACCCAAGUACAAAAUCUGGGCACAGCGUCAUGGACAGACAUGUAAUCUAGAGCUGGAGAGGUACAGUCAUGAAGAUUACUGGAGCAUGCUGUCCAGUCAGCCCAGCCUGCUGGGUCAGUGAACCCCAGGGCAGUGAGUGAUACUAUCUCACAAACAAAGAUAGUCACUGAGGAACACACACAGUAUUGACCUUUGGCCUCCACAGUCAUGUGCACACCUUGCCCCCCAAAGAGAAUUGGGGUGACCAAAACUCACAUGAAAAGAUGUUUUAAUAUCUGUAGUCACAAAUAAAAUUCCGAAAAUGUCACUCCACCCCUCUAUGAGAAUGGCUAAAGUUAAAGGAAAAUUCUGACUAUACCAAGUGUUGACAAAGAUGUAGAGAAACCAGAACACUUACAUAUUACUGAUGGGGGUGCUGUUUGGCAGUUUCUUAGAAAGUCAGGAGUGGACCACAUGCAUGGCCUAUUCCCAUGCCACAUAUUACUUGGGAGAAAAGAAGGUGUAUUUCCCUACAACUGUUUUAACAUAAAUAUUUAAAGGAUUUUAUUUCUAACUGCCCCAAGCUGAGAACAAGUCAAGUUUUCUUCAAAUAUAAGCAGGUGAAUUGUGGUCCACUCAGAAGGAAUACUAUGCAGCAACAGUAAGAAGGAAUGGAUGACUGAUAAAACAUGCUUAAACAUGCUUAAACAUGGAUAGAAAUCAAGUGAAGUAUGUUGAGUGAAAGAAGCCAGAAUGUAUAUAGGUACAUACCUCCAUGAACAUGUAUAUACACCAAGUAUAUGCAUACACACACACACACAAACACACACACAAACACAUACACAUAAACACACACAAAUAUGCACACAUAAACACACACAUACAAAAGCCAGCAUAUCUUUGAUUUUUUCACACAUUUCUAGAAAAUCCUAAAAAUUAAAGAAAUAGGUGGCCCAUGGAAGGUGGGAGGAGUCAGGAGGUAGGGCUAAAAAAGGAAACUUGAGGAAUUGAUGGAGUUGUUCAUUGUCCAGGGAGAAGGGCCAGCUUCAUCACUGUUGACAUAUGUUACCAUAUGAAAGUGGAGCCUUCUGUCCACUUAUUUUGUACACACCCUUUAUGCUUCAAUAGAUCUCUUUAAAGAGACCAAGCAAUUCAUGUUGGUACACAGGUUUGUAUGUCACAAUCUGGUAUAACUAGGGCUCAGAAUCCCAGACACAUAACUAAAGCUAUUUUUCUUAAUUCGUGGAUGAUAAUUUUUGAGAAUUUCAUGCAUGAUUAUACUGCAUAUACAUGAUUUCCACCCUCCCUUUCCCUACUAUAACACCUCUCAUCCCUCUACCAUAUCUUUGUUGUUAUGGUUGUUAUUGUUGUCACUGUGAGCCUGGCCUUUAAUAGCUGAGCCAUCUCUCCAUCCCAAUGGUCUAUGUUUUAACUAUUUGUUCCUAUUUAUGGGGGUAGUGUGAGGCUUCAGGACAAGUAUGCAAAUGGGUCACAGUCCAAUCAGCAUAAUGGGCUUGCUCAUGUCAAACACUUAGCAAUGUGCUUGGCCCAUCCAAAAAUUGUCUCUAUCAGGUUUGCUUUUUCUUUGAUUAGUUAUAAGAUUACAGUUCCCUACUGUGCUGUAGACCCUUAUGCUAUCCUUCCUUUCCCAACCCGUCAACCAUCCUUACUCCAUCUCUCCUCUCUAGACUCUAGCCCUUCCAAGCCUCUACUGACCAGUGUUCUACUUUAUGUCUGUGAGAUCAGCUUCUUUGGCUCACUCCUGAGUGUGAAAGGUGCAGUUGGUGUCUUCAGGCCUGCCUCGUUUCACCCCACGCCUGGCUUGUUUCGCUUUAUACGUUAUCUUGUUCUAUUCCUAAGGUUGCCAUUGACAGUAUUUUAUGCAUUUCUGUGGUACAGCAGUAUUCCUCUGUGUGCGUCAGGGCAUAGCAUUCCCCACUCCCCAUCCCCUAAUUUUUAUCCACUGUCUUAUGUAUUCCUAUCUGAGAUUCUAUAGUAAUCCAUAUAACUUAUUUUUUUUCCUUGCUUUUACAGGUUUUGUGUAAAUUCUGACAUCUCAUGCUCAAGAUUCCAGACAGAGUUGGGGUCGGUGGCAGAGUGGAGAAGGAACAAGGGUAAGACUUACCACACCUAUUGCCUAAUGGGAGAGAGGGACCAUGUAACUCAUUUGGAAACUGGAUUUUGCAAUGAGUUAUCACUGUAUUUCACAUUUAACAGCCACUGCAAGGGAAGGAGAUAAACCUGGAAACCUGGAAACCAUUACUUUGUCAAGGGUGUUGCUGCCAUUGAAGAAGCUGUCUAUGGUGGAGUCACAGAUAGAGCAGCCUGAUGAAAUGGUCUUGACUAUUUCCAUCCCUUUAGCCCACAGCCUGUUUCUGGCUUGCUGUACAGCAACUGUCUUGUCCAGACACUGAAGUCAGCUGUAGCAUUAGAACAACCUUUGAAUGUGAUGAUGUCACAAUGACCCAAGUCUCAUUCAGAGGAAGGGCUGAUGUGUUACUAAGCAACAUUCUGUCUGCUUAAGUGAAUCCAUCACUUAGUGUGCCGUUGACCUUGAGGCGUACACAAUGGCCUGAGAUCUGUUAGGCUCAUAAAAGAGAUUUGGUUGGCAUGCUUACAAAGGAAGCAGGAUCUAGCAUUAUAAGAAUGAUAUUAAUGUAAGGUAAUAAACGCAGUUGGUGAGUAGACCAGCAGGCUUUGCAGCUCUGGUGACACUUGGGAUAACUGUAGAGUCAGAAGAGAGAUCUUAAAAUCUGACUGUUGGCGAUGUAAGGCAGUCUAGGCCAUAGGGUAGAGAGAUAUCCAGCAUAUUAAUGAACCACAGCAACAAAACGAUAUUUUUCCUAGGUACCUGGAUAGGGGCUCUGCAUUGGGGGCCUCUGUAACUCUCUGAUUCUCUUAGUGCUUUUGUGGUGAAUCAACUCCUGUUCAAUCAGCUAACUGACGUUUUGCUCAUGAAAUGGCAACCGUACGCAGGUUUUUCCCUACUACACUCCAUAAUUCAAGUUUGAGGCACCUCUCACUCCAUCUCUCUCUCUCUCUUGACGGGGUCUCACUGUGUAGCUGAGGCUAGCCCGGAUGUCAGAAUUCUUCUGCCUCAGCAUGUUGAGCACCAGAGUUACAGAUGUCUGCCACCAAGCCUGGCUGUGCAGUCUUCUCAUUUUACAUAGAGAGGAGUGGCUUCUUGGCUUACUUCCAUAACUGGUUAAGUUGGUCUCUCUAGCUCCCUUAAAUUUUGUGCAAAUGUUUUAGGAGAUUAAUUCUGUAACUUCAUUGUUUCUAGAGUGCACUUUAUCCCUGCCAUUUGGGGAAACCAGGGUACCCAUUUUUUUUUUAGCAGUCAUUUUGGAACCAACAAGAUUAAUGAGUUUUUCUGAGCAUGGGUUGGGUAUGGCAAAGUCUGAGCUUGAGUCUUGGUUUUGAGGGUGGGAGGCGGGUGGCUUGGAUAUCCUGAAAGAACUUGGAGGUGUGUGCACAUGCAUGCGUGUCACAGUUAGCAUGGAAAGAAGACAAAGAGAUGGAAACCCAAAGAGUGAGGUUGGCUAGCCUUGAGAUUAAGAGGUUUCCUGUGUCUAUUACUAGAUCUGUCAUCUAGGAAAUAGAAUUAUGACGAAAUGGAAAGAUAAAAUUGGGAAAGACAAUAAAGUAACUGGUUACUACUAUAAACUUAUUUUCCACUAUUACUAUUAUUCACCUUAUUACUAUUAUUUCACCUUUGUACAUUUGUCUUGAGAAGGAGUUCACUUGGUAGCCCGGGUCCAUCUCAAACUCAUGUCAAUCCUCCUGCCUCAGACUCCUAAGUAAUGAAAUCACAGGCAUGUGAUACCAUAACUGGUUCGUCAUUUAAUUUAAUAUUAAGAAAUGUACAGGUUGAAUUAACAUUUUCAGACAAGCGACAGAUGAUAUUUUUAAUUUAUUUUUUCCUCUCUGUUAUGGGAGAUGUCAGAUGUUAAAUAAUUUCUUCAAGAGCCUUAAAAAUAUGGACAAUAUAAUCAGGUCCUUUCCUGAGUGCUCUCAAUCCCAGAAUUUGGGAAAUAAAUACAGGGAGAUUGUAUGAGACUAGCCUGCAGCAUAUAUUAUGAUUCUGUUACACACCCAAGUAUCACACACACACACACACACACACACAUGCAUGCACACAUACACACAACACACAACACACAACACACAUACAAGUGAGUAUCAGAUAGGUUUUUACUAGCCAGGCUAAAGAACCUAUAGACGUAGGCCAGUGGGAUGGUUCAGUAGGCGCAGCCUCUUACCCCAAGCCUCAUUAACUUGGGUUCAAGCCAAGGGACUCACAUAGCUCUGACUCCUGCAAGUUGUCCUCUGACCUCACAUUCUGUGCUGUAACACACCACCCACCUUGCCAAAUAAAUAAAUAUUAAAAAAACAAAGACAAAACAGUGAUUCUGUAGAUGUACAAACUCUCUGAUGGUACGUGAGGACUUAGAAUUUUCUUUACCACAGCCAUGUGACUAACUGCCCAGGUUUCACGUAUGUAGAGAAGGAACGGCAGAUAUAUGGGUUUUCAUCACACAUGAGCCCUCUCUGCCGACGAGAUAUCACUCUCCCAGGCCAUUCUCAGAUCCUACCAGGAGACCCUGGAGGCUCACACCCAUUUCCUUGCUUUUAUCUUGCUUUUCGGAAGCCUCUGUUUCUUUUCACCUUUUAUCUGACUUGAGGACAACCCUUCCAGACGCAUUUUCCCCAAACCACAUGAUGGCUGCAAGCCAAGCUCCCCUUCAGAACAUCUUUCCCAUAAGCCCUGUCUCCACCCUUUAAACUUAUCUCGAAAGAAUCAAGUCCAAAACACAGGCCUUCGGAGGCAGCAUCACAUGUAUUCUCUUUCUGUUUUGCUCAGCUUUCCUGAGAGUAAUCAUACCUCCCCUAGGAACCCAGGGUGCAUUUCCCAUUAGAGUUUGCUACUGGGACUUGCCUCUUUUUUUUUUAGGCUUAAAAAUCUCAUUUUAAUGAAUGUUACAUUCAUUGUUAACAAUACAAUGUUACAACCACUAUACUGCUACCCAAACAUUAUUAGUAUUAGAAUGUCUCCCAAUAUUAUACAGGCCUUCACAUUUGUCCUGGGAAGUCAGUACACUAACUGUAAGCAUUCAAGAGUUGGUUUGAGUUGUAAUGGGCUUGGGCUAGAGCUCAGGGGCAGAGGUCAUACUGAGCGCCCAAGCCCUGGAUUCAAUCACUGCACAGAAAGAAGCAAAAGUAUCUGUAGGAGAGAAAGUGCUUUCAGAAUUACAAUGCAGUGGUCCAGGGGGUAUCAAUAUGGCGCAUGUCUGUAGGCAGAAGCUCGCUGUGUUCACAGCUCGCUUGCCUCGUCCUUCUCAGCCGGGAUACAGGUGUGGCACUUGCCUCUUAAAGCUUGCAUCUGUCUAGCUCUCAGACCCACAGAUGCUGCCUGGGAACUAUGGCUUUGGGGUUGAGUACUCCUAGUCUUUCUCCAUCUGGAGCCCUAGAGAUAAAGAUCUAGACUGAAGGGUCAACCAUAUUUGGCUCUUUCUGGGCACUUAUGGAUAAGAAUUGGUGCCCGCAGGUGAGAAGUCCUCUGGAAAAUACCAGGUUGAGUCAUCUUGUCACCUGCAUGCCUGGCCAUUUCUCUAUCUUCUUUGAGCUGAGUUUCGAUCCUUCACUCCUUAUAUGUCCUUGCCUGCUAUUUCCUCAACACUGCUAGAAGUGAGGGACCCAGAGAAGCCAGAGCCACAUGGUGGAAAAAGCGCAGUCUUUCCGGGUAUAGCUGACCACGAGAGUCGGGUGCUGUUCCACAAGGAAGAACUCAUUUGCAUUAUGUGGAGCCUCUGGGAUUGUUGGGCUUCCUUGUUACCGCAACUUGCUAUAGCAUUAUCCUGACUAAUGUACCUUCCAGCUGUGCUUAGUUACGGAGGGAACAGUGUAAGGCAAAGACAGAAGUUAGAAUGGGGGUAAACAGCACUGUGGAUAAACUAGGUGCUUUCUCUGCGUGAACCGGUGAAAACCUGAGAGUUCUGAGGGUGACGCUGGGAGAGAGUAUUACACUCCCUUUUAAUGUAACAAUGAUUGUAUGUGUGUCACAGGAGUUAAAUUGGAAGACAGUUUUAAAAGAGAGUAGAGACAGAGCAUGAA